ACGUAGGGUGCGAGCGUUGUUCGGAAUUACUGGGUGUAAAGGGUCCGCAGGCGGGCAAGCAAGUCGGUGGUGAAAGUUCAUGGCUCAACUGUGAAAUUGCCUUCGAUACUGCUUGUCUUGAGUUCGAGAGAGGAUGAUGGAAUUCAUGGUGUAGCAGUGAAAUGCGUAGAGAUCAUGAAGAACACCAGUUGCGAAGGCGGUCAUCUGGCUCGAUACUGACGCUCAGGGACGAAAGCGUGGGUAGCAAACAGGAUUAGAUACCCUGGUAGUCCACGCCUUAAACGAUGGAUAUUCGGUGUCGGUCCCGCUCGGCGCUUCUUGCAAGCGUCGAGCGGGAUCGGUGCCUGAGCUAACGCGUUAAAUAUCCCACCUGGGGAGUACGAUCGCAAGGUUG
rnacentral:rRNA from 1 species